rnacentral:lncRNA from 1 species
UACUCGCAUCAUUAUGUAUGUAAAAGUUCCCAGACGACUAAGAAGCUCUUUUGGACAAACGGUGAAGGCAAAAGUUGAUGAAUUGAACUGUUCAACUGCAGAGGUUAUAAUUAACAACAGCAGUGAUAAACAAAAAACCAAUAACGACCGCUACCUGAAAUAUCUAACCGGCUUUCUGAUUGCUGUUGCUUUGAUUGAAAUAAUCCUCUUCUUUUUAGGAUGGUGGUAUUUCUUAAGAAAGCGUGUUCAUGAUGAAAUGGUUAAUAUGGGUUACAAUAUCGUACGAGCUUUAGGCUUCAAAAGAUUUACUUAUGCAGAGCUACAAAGCGCUACAAGAAACUUCAAAGAAGAGAUAGGAAAAGGGGGAUUCGGGACUGUUUACAAAGGAGUUCUUGAUGACGAAAGAGCUGUUGCUGUAAAAAGACUAGAAGGUGCUUUGCAAGGAGAAGCAGAAUUUUGGGCAGAGGUGAGCAUUAUAGGGAAGAUUAAUCAUAGGAAUCUGGUGAAAUUGUGGGGAUUUUGUGCUGAGAAAGGCCACAAAAUACUAGUUUAUGAGUUUUUGGAAAAUGGAUCACUCGAUCGAAUCUUGUUCACAGAUUUAGCAGACACAUUAGGAUGGGAGCAAAGAUACAACAUUGCAGUUGGGACAGCAAAGGGCUUGUCGUACUUACACGAAGAGUGCUUGGAGUGGGUACUCCACUGCGAUGUCAAAGCUGAAAACAUACUAUUAGACGAUUGUUUUGAGGCCAAAGUAGCAGAUUUUGGCAUGUCAAAACUAUUCAAAAAAGAGAUUAAUGAAAGUGGAUUUUCUAGGGUUAGAGGCACCAGAGGGUAUUUGGCUCCUGAAUGGAUGUUGAACCUGAAAAUUGAUGCCAAGGCAGACGUGUAUAGCUAUGGGGUUGUCCUGUUGGAAUUACUGACCGGAAAAACAGCAUCAGGUUUUCAAUCGACCAAGGUGCAUGACAACGAGUGCAACCAUUUGGUACAAUGGGUGACACAGAAGAUACAAGUAGAAGGACCUGAAAAAAUAUUUGAUGAGAGAGUUAAUGGCGAAGAUAGUAAGGAAAAGCUGAAAAGAAUGUUGACAGUUGCAAUGUUGUGCAUUAGAGAAGAUCGGGAUACAAGGCCUGCUAUGAGUAAAGUUGUGGAGCUUUUAGUUGAGAACGAUGAAAUUCAUAUUUGAGCAAAAAGAUUUGUAAAUUCUGAGCAGACAGAUUCGGAUGAUUAAUGUUGUAGAAUUAUAAAAACAUUUAACAGAUAUGUAAAACUACCUUCAUAUAUACCUCUUUCCUUCUCCAUCUCUCUUCCUUUUUCCUCGAGUCAAUGAAGAAUCCCUGCAACGGCGCUCAUUUUCUGCGCCUUCUAUCCUGUCAAGUCUUUUUUCUCUGCUCUUUUCUCAGUUCAGCCUCUUUCUUUUUUCGCUGCCUCGCUUUUGGCUCUGCAAUUCUUCACCCCAAAUAAAUCCUUCCUUGCCGUCGAAGGCUCGAGCUCUGUUCUCUGCCGCACCAGUCUCGUGUUAUCUGAUUCAAGCUAUCUCUACUUUCACUCGUGUCUUUCUCCAUCAAGUGGAUCAUAUUCUGGUCUCUUCCACUCUGUUUUCGAUUCCCUAGAAUUUCCAUUUCAGAGAAAACCAGACGAUUCCUUUCGUCCGGAUUUAUGGAUGAAGCUUCGAGAAGAAAGAGGAGAACGAAUAACCAAAAAAAGAAAAAACACAAAAGAGGAAGAAGAAAACUUAAACGCGUCGUUUCAUCUCCUCUUCAAACUUGGCUGGGCCCACGUUCGUUUGGGCCAAUCAGUUAAUUCUACAUUAGAUUCGAAC